UUUAGACAGUCUGUAAUGCAGGUAUAAACUUACAGCUCAUUUGUGGGAAGUUGGGACGGAGCCCCACUUUCAUGGUGCCUUUAAAUGAGCUGAGUAGCUGUGAUAUGAAGUGCAAUCACUAGAGGGCAAUGAGAGAUCACAAACAUCUAUACACCAUUGCAGAACAAUGUUUGCAUACAUCUCUGAAUGCUAAGAAAGGAACAGACAAGGGAAGAAAGGAUAUGACUCAGUUUGCAUUUCUUUUGAUGAGCUUCCCAGGUGGCUUCCCAGGUGAACAUGGCCAGCUAUUGCACCAAACGCGCUCCCACUUGGAACACCACUGAAUUGUUGGAUCUGAUCAGUAUAUGGAGAGAGGAGUCUGUUCAGUCGCAGCUGCAAGUGACCCGUAGGAAUCGGGACACAAAUGGGCAAAUUUCUCGAGGCUUGUGCAAAAAGGGCUAUGAUCAGGACACACAGCAGUGCAGAGCGAACAUAAAAGAGCUGAGGUGGGCAUACCAUAAGGCACAAGAUGAAAACCACCACUCCAGCGGUGCACCUAAGACCUGCCACUUCUAUAAGGAGCUGAAUGCUAUCCUUGAUGGUGAUCCCACCUCCACCACCAAUAACCCCCUGGAUACUUUGGAGGCAGCAGAAAGAGGGGAUCACCUGGAGGCUGAAAUUCUGGUUGAAGAAGUUGAGCUAGAAGAGGAUGUGGAGCUCCCAGCAGGGUCACCUGGUGGGGCAGGCAGACAGGAACUUUUCUCCACUCCAGAAGUGCUCAACAGGAGCAGGAAGCAGAUGAGAUGCUGGCACAGACCUUGAGGAACAAACCACGCACCCCUACUAACCGGCUUUGGCAGAUAAGGAAGAACCCUCGGCGCAGCAAAAAAGACAUGUUCCAGGAGGUGCUGCAGCGCGAAGAGAGACAGACCAGGGAACGCAAAGAGUGCUGGGAAGCCGAAAGACCGGACAGAAAAGAUAAUGCUGCAUUUGCUAGGCAAGCAACAGAGCGGAUGAUAAGUUAUGGAGGAUCAGACAGAGAUGUUCAAGUCUUUGGUAUAACUGCAGACUGAGCAGAUCCAUGGUCGACCUCCCCUGCAGCACAUGAACAUGCACAAUUCUUUGCCAACCCCAGCCCCUCUAUGCCAACACAUUCCUUUUUAUUUCACAGCACUCCUGAGUUUCCUCUUCACUCCACCCCCUCUCACAGCUUGCACAAUGAUAGCUGGAACU